rnacentral:rRNA from 1 species
UACGGAGGAGGCAAGCGUUAUCCGGAAUUAUUGGGCGUAAAGCGUCCGUAGGUGGCUAGUCAAGUCUGCGGUCAAAGACUGGGGCUUAACCCUGGAAAGGCCGUGGAAACUGACGAGCUAGAGUGCAGUAGGGGUAGAGGGAAUUCCCGGUGUAGCGGUGAAAUGCGUAGAGCUCGGGAAGAACAUCGGUGGCGAAGGCACUCUACUGGGCUAUUACUGACACUCAGAGACGAAAGCUAGGGGAGCAAAUGGG